CCAGCCCAGGAAAUGUUAUCACCCUGCCUACAUGACAGUUCUCACGUAGUACAUACAUCGUGCUUACUUACCGACAGGAACACGUUAGAUAAUUUUACUCGUCAUGUGUAUCCCACUCCUGUUAGUUUCAUUGUUUGGUAUGGUGUGGCGGCAUUGUCUGUGAUUCAUGAGUGGCUGUCGUACGGUGCAGACUAUAUAAGAUCUUUGUUCCGGGUCUCAAGCAAUAUUUCAAAGCCACGAGUAAGUAAAGUGUAGUGUUGGAGGUGGAAGAGCAGUGGCAGCAGCCGACGCGGGUUACACUUACAGCUGAUCGGGACGGGACGGCCUCUCCCUCCUCCCUCACACUCCCACGACAAAUAUCACACAACAGCUGACUCCAGUGGCCCAGGAGUGUGCCGACUAUAUGCUUUCAAGUCACUCCGGCCCCUAGUUGCUCCGGCCCCAACCCUGGUCACUCCAGCCCCAACCCUGGUCAUUCCGGCCUCCGACCCUGGUCACUCCGGCCUCCUUGUCUACAUAUGAAACUAUGGACACAUUGACCAAGUAAUGUUGCCUGGGAGCCGACUUCACCGUAGUUAUGGCCUAUGCACCCCAUUGUCCUUCCCGACUUCAUGCCGGCAUCAUGGCGCGCCACAGAAGAAAACCAACACAAAACAAGAUUAAAGAGUUGUGGAAGAGAAGUGCAAACAAAGAAUAAUGUGAAAAAUUGAAGAUAAUGUAUUACGCAGCCAAUAUUAUCUUGAAAAAGUGUCACAAGAUCAAAAUAUUGUACAUAAAGAUGUAUUGCACUUGGAAAUUUUAAAAUGAAGUGAACACUAGACUCAGACAGAGGUACAUUGCCAAAAAAUAUUGCCUCCUGAAAAUUUUCAUGUGAAAAAACUAUGAACCCACCCCACCAAAAACUGACGAGUGUUCACAGAUUCAGAUAUACAUAUAAUCAUCUGUGAGUACUUUCUUCAUGUUAUACCUUCAUUUUAUAUUAUAUGAAGACAAUUUACGCAAAAAACAGUGCAAACUUGAGUUACAGGGUCUAGUAGCAAGACUGAAAUUGCUCAAAGAAAAAUGACAGCAGCUUCAAAUGGAAGUAUCAGAGGAGGAUGUGGAUGAUCCAUGGUUUUGGCAUAGUAGGACAGCACCAGAACAACACUCUGACUCCAACCCUGGGAGUUGUCACCCCACCACAGGCCGGUGAUGGAAAGUCCAUCACUUCAGGGAGUGAAAGUGUGAGCUCUUUGCCACUUUGUUCCCCAGCAACAAGGGCGACCAACCUUGCAAUGCCUCUCAAAGAGGACAGCAGGGAAUUUGUGUGUGGCUGGGGGGCAGCUUUCAUCAACAUUACAGUCACUUUUCCCAUGAAUAAAUUGAUGUUUAGGCAGAUGCUACAUGGAAUAUCCACAGCUAGUGCCCUAAGCCAGCUCAAGAGGGAGGGCCUGAAGAACUUGUACAGGGGGAUCCUUCCCCCACUCUGCCAAAAGACCAUCUCCACCUCCAUUAUGUUUGGCAUGUAUGACCAGUAUGGGAAGCUUCUAACUCACCACUGCCCUUACAUGUCUCAGGGCACAACAUUUGCUCUGGCCGCAACCCUUGCAGGCUGCACCGAGGCACUAUUAUGUCCAUUUGAACGAAUCCAGACACUUUUACAAGACAAAAAAUUCCAUGGCCAGUAUAAGAAUAGUCUACACAUAACGAAAGAUCUAUGGAAGUUUGGCCUGAAAGAAUAUUACCGUGGUAUGGUGUCUAUUCUUCUGCGCAAUGGACCCAGUAAUGUCCUUUUCUUUGGUUUUCGAACAAAAGUGAAGGAUUACCUGCCUGAUACAGGACAGUCUUGGUGGGGAAACUUUGUCACUGACUUUGUGUCUGGAGCAUUCCUUGGAGCCUUCAUCUCCACAGUCAUGUAUCCCAUCAAUGUCAUUAAGGCACACCAGCAGUGCCAGGUUGGCGGACCAUUCCAGUCCAUGCAUCACACCUUCUGGGACGUAUACAGGUCACGUGGAAGCCGCCUUAGUCGCCUAUUCAGUGGUGCUCACGUCAAUUAUUCCCGUGCUCUUGUGUCUUGGGGGAUCAUCAAUGCUUCCUAUGAAGUUCUGCAGAGGCUCCUAUAUAGUUAACAGCCAUUUAGCAACCAUUUGAUGGUGGUGAGUCAGGUAUGUCAUCCUGCUUUGCAGUUUGAUCCUGUUGCAGGACUAAGUAUUAAAUGCAAACUAAUGUACCAACUUACAUAAAACUUAUUCUAUGCAUUUGUCAUAGAACUUUUAAAUUUUAGUAUUUAUUUCAAACAUUUAACAUUUUAAUUAGUAGCCCCUGCUUUCCAAACAUCCUCUAAAAAUACAAUGCUAAUAAGUUAGUAUGUUGAUUUUAUGCAACCCAUUUUAACCUUGUUUAGUGCAUUAUGUAGAUGUAUAAAUGGUAUUUAAAAAUAUAUAUGUCAGCAGAGGGUUGAAAACUAAGUGCUCUUCUCAAGUUAGUUGGUACCCAAAGCAAGUGGGUGGGAUGCAGGAGGACCUGAAGUGUUUUCACAUAUGUGAAUUGUAUGUUUGAUGGUGCUUCAGGCUUUCUUCAGGGAUCUCACCACAUCAAUGUGUGACAAGAAGGAUAAUGUCCCCUAUGCCGUGACAUACACAGUUCUAUCCCAGAAAGACUCCUUUUGGAUCAUGGAACUACUUUGUUUCCUAUCGUCAGUUUUUAAUAUGUAUAAUGUGUGUAUAUAUAUAUAUUGGCCUGUUUGCAGCCAGGCAUUCUGAUGGCAAUUGCCACCCUAACUUUAAUUUUCUAUUAACUUUCUUGGAUGCAGGGGGACAGCUUUUUUUUUUUUUUUUUUUUUUUUUUUUUAAAGGAAAGGAAGCAGCUCAAGGGCAUAAAAAGGUGUGGGAAAAAAGCCCGCUAAAUGCUGCUCCUAAAAAAAAGAUAAAAGUAAAGAGUGGCCAAAAGAGAGAUCAAUUUGCAAGAAUCUGACACUGAUUGCCACAGCAAUGUAAGAUAAUAUUAAAGACAUGUCCAUAUUACGUUAUUUGUAUAUAUUUAGGCAUAAGGAAGCUAUUUUUAUCAUGCAAGAUAAAACCCCUCAUAACCUAAAUGAUUAUACUGCAAGUAAGUGUAACCAAUAUAGCAAAGGACCUGCAAUAUUAUUAAUUUUCAAGUAUGAGUUGAUAAUAAUAUUGCAGGUCCUUUGCUAUAUGUACAGUUCAUACUUGCAGAAUAAACAUUUACAUAACAUUUUUAGGUUUUUAUCUUGUGUGAUUGAAAUAGCUUCAUUAUCCCCAAAUAUAUACAUCAUCAUCAUCAUUACAUCGACGCCUGCUCCUGGGAGCUCCCACCAGGGGAUGGCCACGGCAGAAGAGCUUCCAACUUUCUCUAUCCAGACACUCCCUCCUUGCCUGCUCAAAGUUUUUCAAAGAUCUUUCCCCCCUUUCCCUAACGUACUCUUGCACCCUAUCCCUCCAUUUCACUGGAAAUCAUCCUCUAGCAUUCCCUCCCUCUAUCUCACUCACAUACACCCUUCUGGUCAUCUUAUUCUCCUCCACUCGCUCCAUGUGGCCAAACUACUUUAAAGUCUGUCGCUUCACUUCUUCCACCACUCCACACUUCUUCCCUUCACCCCUGUGACACAUUCCAAAAUGCUCGUACGCACUUUCAUUACUCAUUCCAUCCAUUCUACUCACACCACAAGCACUCCUCAAAUAACUCAUUUCCACUGCCUGCACUCUAGACCUUUGACUUUAAUUCCAGGCCCACGUUUCACUUGCAUCUGUGAGGGUUGGUACUAUUAUUAUAUUUCUCAAAUCCCUCUUUACCUCCAUGCUCACACUUCUGCCAUUCACGAUUCAUCCCAAAGACCCUACCACCCUUCUUCCUUGCAAUGCCCUUUCUCUUAUCUCUCCCUCCGUACCACCAUGCUUACGCAUAACUGAUCCAAGAUACUUAAACUCAUUGACCUCCUCCAUUUCUUCACCAUUCAAAAUUAUUUUGCAUUCUUUUUCACAUUCAAUUCCCACUCUAUAUGGGCAUACCAAAUCUACAACCUCACUUCUAUUUCGCUCACAAACCACCACUUUACUUUUGUUGACAUUUACUUUCAGCUUUCUCCUUUUACAAACACUAUCAAAAACACUGACCAAAUUUUGUAGGUCACAAAUAUAUACAUAUCAUUUUAUAUGGAUAUGUCCUUAAUAUUACCUUACCUAUGUUUUACCUAUCUAUGGCAAUUGAUGUUAAAUUCUUCUGCAAAUUGUUGUUAAAAGAUAGUUAAGUCAUCCCUCUGCCCAAGGAGGUUAGGAGGAAAUUAAAAUUCUGGUAGUAAUAGGCAUCAAAAUGCCCGCCAGCAAAUAGGCCAAUGGACCGUAUUGGCUAUACAGGCAGCGCCAUGCGUGGCCAAGCAGUACUUUUCAUAGAAUUCAAAUAAUGCACUAGAGUGUGUCUAAGGCUGCCUCCAGGAUACAGGGCCUUGGUGCUGCCACCGCUCCGAGCCAACGACUGCACACACUUUACUCUUACCUGAUUUCCUGACACUAUUAUUUGACAUGGAGAAAAACUGAAAUCGGGUAGGAGCGGUGUGUGCAAUCAUCAGCUUGGAGCGAUGGCAGCACCAUGGCCAUGUAUCCCUGAGACAGCCUCAGAUGCACUCUAGUCUAUAACUUGAAUUCUAUGAGAGGGACAGCUUAGAGUUGAGUGGCCACAUGUGGCGCUGCCUAUAUAGCCAAUACAGUCUGUUGGUUAUGGUUUGCCAAAUCACUAGAAAUUUCUAUAAGCAGUUGUUAUAUUAGUGUGUCACUGGUGAGAAGUCUACUUCAAAACCCAUAAGGUGAGUAGAUUGUAAGACUGCCUAAUGUUUCAUAAUGUAGUUUGCUUAUUGUCUUACAUGUAAACAUGAAAAUACGGAAAAUUAAAACUAUUGAAUGCCACAGUAAAACAGUGUGAGAUGCAUAUGAAGGAUAAACAUUCAAACAAAGAUAGAUGUUGACCAGAGAGGGGAAGAAUUUCAUGUAACCUGGCUAGACCCAAUGACAUAAGCAGUUAGGUUCAAUGGAAAAUAUUUAACUUAUAAGAAAAUGGAACAGACAGGAUUUAUGUUCAAAUGCACUGUUCAAGAUUUUUAAUUCAUGAUAAUUAUAGGUUUUAAAAUGAAAUGUCAUACAUCUUGUUAUACAUGUGCAUUAGACAUUAAUGAAUGAAUAUGGUUUAAAUAGGAAUAAUUGUCUUCUUUACCACACCUGCCUUCAGUGGUACAGCUCUUUUAGCAAAAUAUCUUCCUUGCUGUACUUUACCAUGUAACCAUGAAUUAAAACAAGUGGGUUAUUUUGCACAUGUAUGCUCAAAUUACUUCUCCUUAUUAAGGCAUUCAUUUCUACUUUAAGUGAUAGUUGGCUAGAUAAACAUGAACUGUGGGAACUGUAACAAACCAUAAUAGCUAAGCUAAAGUGUGUAUACUCGUUUGUUAACAGCUCUUAGGCAGCUGUUGUUUGUCAGUGUUGUCCUUGUUAUGCUGAGGAGGAUCUCUCACUACCCACUUGCCAACCUGUCCAAGAUGCACUAUAGUCCAUCGACUCUAACUUGAGCCCUGUGGCUUGGCCCAGGGAAACCCCCAUUCUAGCGAUGACCUACGCAAGGCGAUCUGUCUCACUGUUAGUCUGCACGAUAUCUAUUUAUGGAAUAUAUAUAAUUCAUAAUACGACUGCAUGGUGUUAUGAAUGGCUUGAGAGGUGAGGGAAAGACAACGACAGAGUCGCGCCCAAAGGCUCAAGUUAAAAUCUAUAGACUAUAGUGGAAUGCUUUAUAUACUAUGAAAACACUGACAUCACCAUGUAUUAAAAAAAACAUAUUAGUCUUAGUGGUGUGUAAAUAGAUGUACAGUUUUGUAGAUGAUUAUUCCUUCAUUUAAAUGAAUGUUAAUUGUUA